AUUGAACGCUGGCGGCAGGCCUAACACAUGCAAGUCGAGCGGAUGAAGGGAGCUUGCUCCUGGAUUCAGCGGCGGACGGGUGAGUAAUGCCUAGGAAUCUGCCUGGUAGUGGGGGAUAACGUCCGGAAACGGGCGCUAAUACCGCAUACGUCCUGCGGGAGAAAGUGGGGGAUCUUCGGACCUCACGCUAUCAGAUGAGCCUAGGUCGGAUUAGCUAGUUGGUGGGGUAAAGGCCUACCAAGGCGACGAUCCGUAACUGGUCUGAGAGGAUGAUCAGUCACACUGGAACUGAGACACGGUCCAGACUCCUACGGGAGGCAGCAGUGGGGAAUAUUGGAAGAUGGGCGAAAGCCUGAUCCAGCCAUGCCGCGUGUGUGAAGAAGGUCUUCGGAUUGUAAAGCACUUUAAGUUGGGAGGAAGGGCAGUAAGUUAAUACCUUGCUGUUUUGACGUUACCAACAGAAUAAGCACCGGCUAACUUCGU
rnacentral:rRNA from 1 species